GUGCUCGCUUCGGCAGCACAUAUACUAAAAUUGGAACGAUACAGAGAAGAUUAUCAUGGCCAAAGAAAAAAAAAAAAAAGAAAGUUCCUUCAGUGUA
ensembl:snRNA U6 U6 spliceosomal RNA